AACCUCAGACCAUCCCAUGGAGACAGGCAAGUAUUUAAAGAGAGAAAUCCACACUAGCUUCAUGUCUCAGCCUGUUCAGUUCUUUGGCAACAGUUGUUGGACUCUGUUUCAACCUUUAACAGGAUGAAGCUUGUUGCGAUCUUUCUUGUUGCGUCGCUGGUCGUCCUGAUGGCCGAACCUGGAGAUUGUUUUCUCAGGAAGUUAUGGAAAGGCUUCAAGGCCGUAUAUAAAGGUGCAAAGCAAGGAUAUAACGCAUUCAAAAGUCAACAACAGAACAUUCAACAGGACAUGCAGGACCAGCAAGCACCAGACAACCCUCCACCACCAUAUAAGAGUUGAUUCAGUUCAUCUAAUGCUAUAUAAGCUUUAAGAAUAUGGCUUUUGCACGUACAAAAAGAAAAAAAAAGAUUUAAACGGCUAGUUUGCUUUCUUCAAGAAGAACAAGGCACGCCAUGCUUUGUGAUAACUGUGAGACAGAAAUUUGUUUAUAUAAAAGCAAAAAUGAUUUGAUGCUGCAAAAUGUCUACCUGAAUAAACU